rnacentral:lncRNA from 1 species
GUCAUUUCAUUCUAUGGCCAUAUGAAACUCCAGUUUUAGAAAUAUAAACAAGCAGCAGUAUCUUACAACUUCAUCAGCAAAAGAUUCAUUGAAUGGUUAUGUCAUCAAAAGAAUAAUAAAAUUGAAUUACCAUUUCUAUGAGCUGCUAAUCAUUCACAAGAAAAAAAAUUAUUGAGCCCCCACCCCUCCGGCCACAACAAUCCUACAAUUUCAAAUGUUGUGGCAAUAUUGCGACAGAAGAAAUGAACGUAAUGCAUUAGCCAUAUAGGAUCGAUAUGGCUAAUGCGUUACGUUAGAAUUUCAAGGAUCAAUUACAACGAUGACCACUUCUUGCUGUGCUUCAUACCACGUCCUGUUCUAAACUCAGCAGCCAAUAUCUGUACACCCGAUCGAUGAUGUUAUUUCCCAAUGGCCUUUAUGGUCUCAGCCCUCAUCUUUCAUCAGUCUAAUCCAGCAC